CGGUAAGGCCCUUCGGGGUACACGAGUGGCGAACGGGUGAGUAACACGUGGGUAAUCUGCCCUGCACUUCGGGAUAAGCCCGGGAAACUGGGUCUAAUACCGGAUAUUCAACUUCUGCCGCAUGGUGGUUGUUGGAAAGUUUUUCGGUGCAGGAUGUGCCCGCGGCCUAUCAGCUUGUUGGUGGGGUAAUGGCCUACCAAGGCGACGACGGGUAGCCGGCCUGAGAGGGUGAUCGGCCACAUUGGGACUGAGACACGGCCCAGACUCCUACGGGAGGCAGCAGUGGGGAAUAUUGCACAAUGGGCGCAAGCCUGAUGCAGCGACGCCGCGUGAGGGAUGACGGUCUUCGGAUUGUAAACCUCUUUCGGCAGGGACGAAGCGCAAGUGACGGUACCUGCAGAAGAAGCACCGGCCAACUACGUGCCAGCAGCCGCGGUAAUACGUAGGGUGCAAGCGUUGUCCGGAAUUACUGGGCGUAAAGAGCUCGUAGGCGGUUUGUCGCGUCGUCUGUGAAAUCCUACAGCUUAACUGUGGGCGUGCAGGCGAUACGGGCAGACUUGAGUACUACAGGGGAGACUGGAAUUCCUGGUGUAGCGGUGAAAUGCGCAGAUAUCAGGAGGAACACCGGUGGCGAAGGCGGGUCUCUGGGUAGUAACUGACGCUGAGGAGCGAAAGCAUGGGUAGCGAACAGGAUUAGAUACCCUGGUAGUCCAUGCCGUAAACGGUGGGCGCUAGGUGUGGGUUUCCUU
rnacentral:rRNA from 1 species